ACGCUCGACACCUACGGGGGCAGCAGUGGGGAAUAUUGCACAAUGGGGGAAACCCUGAUGCAGCGACGCCGCGUGGAGGAAGAAGGUCUUCGGAUUGUAAACUCCUGUUGUUGGGGAAAAAGAGGAUGGUACCCAACAAGGAAGUGACGGCUAACUACGUGCCAACAGCCGCAGUAAUCUGAGCGGGCUGGCAAGGC
rnacentral:rRNA from 1 species